ACGGGAGGCAGCAGUGGGGAAUAUUGCACAAUGGGGGAAACCCUGAUGCAGCGACGCCGCGUGAGUGAUGAAGUAUUUCGGUAUGUAAAGCUCUAUCAGCAGGGAAGAUAAUGACGGUACCUGACUAAGAAGCACCGGCUAAAUACGUGCCAGCAGCCGCGGUAAUACGUAUGGUGCAAGCGUUAUCCGGAUUUACUGGGUGUAAAGGGAGCGUAGGUGGUUUGGCAAGCCAGAAGUGAAAACCCGGGGCUCAACUCCGUGGAUUGCUUUUGGAACUGUUGAACUAGAGUUCAGGAGGGGUAAGUGGAAUUCCCAGUGUAGCGGUGAAAUGCUUAGAUAUUGGGAGGAACACCAGUGGCGAAGGCGGCUUACUGGACUGAUACUGACACUGAGGCUCGAAAGCGUGGGGAGCAAACAGGAUUAGAUACCCUGGUA
rnacentral:rRNA from 2 species